UUGGAAUGAGGCUACUCGAAGAAGAGGAGUACCAAGAUCCAACACGACCGGGCAAAAUUGGCCAUUUUUGAGUCUUUGCUUCGUUCCCAUUACACGAUAACGAGCAAAGAGGGGCAGCUGUAAUAGGCCCAAUUUGCCCGGGCCCAAAAGCACAAACACAAAUAAACCAAAAAUAAAAUAAAAAAAACCAAUAGCAGUCAUUUUUUUUUUUGUGUUUAGUAUUACAAAGCCCAAAUCUAACACCACCUAAUUACCAAAC
rnacentral:lncRNA from 1 species